rnacentral:rRNA from 1 species
UGGGGAAUAUUGCACAAUGGAGGGAACUCUGAUGCAGCGACGCCGCGUGAGUGAUGAAGGAAUUCGUUUCGUAAAACUCUGUUUUAUGGGAAGAAAAGGACUGUACCAUAGGAGAAAGCUCCGGCUAAAUACGUGCCAGCAGCCGCGGUAAUACGUAUGGAGCGAGCGUUGUCCGGAAUUAUUGGGCGUAAAGGGUGCGCAGGCGGCUUUACAAGUUGGAUGUGAAAUAUUGUGGCUCAACCACAAACGUGCAUCCAAAACUGCAAAGCGUGAGUUAAGGAGAGGUAAGUGGAAUUCCUGGUGUAGCGGUGCAGUGCAUAGAUAUGAGGAGGAAUACCUGUGGCGAAGGCGACUUACUGGACUUAAACAGACGCUCAGGCACGAAAGCGUGGGGAGCAAGCAGG